CAUCUUCUGGAUAUGUGCCCAGGAGAGGUAUUUACUCUUAUGAUACAUAUUAACAUAGUAAAGACGGAAAAAAUCCUGCAGUAAAGAAACCUAUUUUAAAGUUGUUUUUCUCAAUGCUUUAUCUCGGGAGCAUUUCUUCCUUGGCUAUACAUUAUCAGCCAUAGGGAGCAGGCAGCGAUGGAAAAUGCACCUUGGGAUGAUCAGGUUGGAAAUAUUUGGACUGGACACAUGAGAUGCAAUGAAAUUUGUAAGUAUCCAUCUUUCUUCCAGGACUGUGCCUAGUUGUUUUAUAAAGAAUUAUAUAAUUCGAAAAGUUUUAAUAUCCAGCUUUAUUUUAUGUUCACAAAAUAAAAUAAGUAGAUUAAUUAAAUAAAGUAAAAUUAGGCUUUCUUCAAUUGCAACAAGAUUUCGUUCUGGGUCUCUGACUAAAUAGGCCUUGUUUCUUUUAAACAUGGGAUUUUGUUAUCUUGCAACAAAAAAAAAAACUUUAUGGAAAAUACAUCCUAUUUCUGAUGCUUUAAUGGGCAUUACAAUAUAAAGCCCCAUUCAGAGAUAUAGCACAAAUACCAGGCUCAACAACUGCAUUUAUUUAUUAACAAAACCAUCCCUUAAUAUUUAGAAUAGUCUUAAAAGAAAACAGGGAAAGCUUUGUUAAAAAGUCAUGCCAUCCACUUCAAGAGCACAUAGGGGCCAUUUUUUUUUCUCUUAAGAAUUCUCCAACAGUGAAAUUGACUUUUUUCUCCCCCCUGCAAGUUUUUUAGCAUGAAAGACGAGAGGAUAUUCCUCCAGGCAGAGGAAUUUCAAGUAAGUCAGCAUGCGUGGGAGACAAUGAUGUUUAUGCUGUUGGGUGGCAGAUUUCUGUGUAAAACCCUUUAAAGGAAGAGAGAAAUCAAAGUGGACACUGGCAGGAUACAAGGAGGUGGCUACUUGUCUACUAGCAAUGACAGAUGAAGCCUAAUGGCUGGAAGGGAAGUUGUGCAGCUCAGAUGAUAGUGACGGGGGAACAGUCACAGGUAAGACCCCCAUCUUCUGCACGAUGACAUAUGGGCUACCCAUAAAUCUCCAUACAGAAGAAAAAUGCCAUAAAGAAGGAAACGAGAGGGUGAAAAAAUUAUUGCACAACUUUAUCCUUAACUCCCUUUUACAACUCCCUAAUAAACAACUGGCUUCUUAAGUUUUUGCUUCAGUGGAUUUUAUAAUAGGCGAUAAAAUCUUUUUGCUUUACUUCAUCAUCUGAGGCAAUGUGAUGUGCUCUCUAAGUAGAUAUUAGGUGUUUUGUGAUUCUUCUAUGACUUAUGGUCGUAUCUACUCAUAUAUUAUGACUGUCAAUCUUCAUUGACUGGGUUUAGAAUAGAAUAGGCUUAAUGGAGGAAAGAAAACCCAUCCUGCAUGUGGGCACCAUCUCAUAGGCUGAUAUCCCAGGUUGAAUGGACAGGGUAAGAGGAGAAAGUGAGUUGAACAUCAUUAACUAGCAUUUAUAUCUCUCCUCUCUGUACAUCUCUAAUGGAGACAUGUCAUGAUUUUCCCACACUGUCCCUUAGUUGUUUUGUUUGUCAAAGCAACCAGAAGAUCAGUUAAUAUACAAAACUAGAGCCAAGAAGAGAAGUGUCGCUGUGACUAAGUAGCCCUGUAGUCGAUAGGUCUUUGGAAUUGGUUUAUGGGAAUAAUGUGGAACAGUGUGAGGCUUUGCUGAGAGCAGAGUCCCAUGGGCUCUUUGUUGUAGGAGUGUAGUUGAUCAGAAUACAGAUGCCAGGGAAGAUGGUAAGGACUGUGCUUUCAAGACUAUAGAGGAUAAUAGAUGUUUUACUGGGAAUUGGACCAGAGAAGCUAUUCAUAUUAUAAUCUGGAUAAAACAAUACAAACAACAGAAUUCUGCCCACAUUUUUAGAACCCGAGUAACCAUUUCAAAAUUAAGUGACUGAGUUGUUUAGUAGAGGAAAUGACAAGAUGGCAUAAUAGCUAGACUGUGCCAUGGCUACUGCUCACUGCCCUUAGUCUGAUCUACAGUGGGGGCUGGGGGUAGAAGGAACAGGGAGAUAUGGAAAGUGUACAGUUUGGUGAAAGGCUCAUAAUCAAGUUGGGAGUAACGGGUGAGAAGAAUGCAACUCUUUCUUGUGGACAUCAGGGCCGUUGAAGAAUAAUCUUGUAUUCUGUACAAGAGGAAAGGUAAACAGAGGGCAAGAACAUUUGUAUUGAAAGCUCCAACAUCUGAAAAUUCAUUUGAGAAAACCACAACUGAGAAUGGCUCUGAGAGGUUUUCCUGCUCAAAAAUGACUUCCCAGGGAAGUGUUUGGCCAAGGUUCAGAUGCCAAGAUGAACAGAGGCAACUAUAGCUGAGAAAGAUGGGGAUUGAAAUUGACUACAAUUUCAAAACAGGAGCUGGACUUGUAAGUUUCACCUCCGUGGUAGUCACAAAAGCUGAUAGUAAAGUUUUGGAAAGCCACCGAGGCCUUGGAUCGUGUGCCAGAUGAAAUUUAUUGCAAGGAGACCCUUACAAGCCACUGUGUGAAGUUGCAAAUAUGAGUACAGAUUUUAGCAAGGAAUCCUGAGAGUUGUCUGCAUCAGGACCUUAGAUCUACUAAGGAAUGUUCAGGUAUCAAGUAGAGUUUUCCCUAGGCCUUACAUGGGCUGUAUGUGCCUGAGCUAGAGGGGCAGUGCUAUCCAACUUCACCAGACCACAGAUGAUCCAAUCACAAGCCCUGGAUAGCAAACAAGGAGCCUAGGGAGCGGGGUUUUCAUCAAUAAGGACUUCCUUGUUUUCAGUUUUAUCUUGGCCUGAUCUUUCCAAAUGUGAAUGUUUAAGGUUGUUGUAUGUUGAAAACAUGUAACUUAGUUUUUUAUUUUUACAGAAACUCAAGAGUUAAGAGAUUGCCUUCAGUAUUAGAAGAGACUUGAUUUUUGAAUUAUGUUGACACUAUUAAAACUAUGGGCACCUUUGAAGUUGGGAUGCUUGCAUUUUACAUUAGGAGUUGAACAUGUGAUUUUUAAGAGUCAAGGGUGGAAGGUUAAGGCUUAGAUGUCAGGGUGCCAAGUUGUCAAGGGGUAGAAUGGCAAUAAUUAAUCUUUAUUGUUAAUCUUUAUUGAACUGAAUUUGUGAUCACUUAGGAGACAUGUCUCUGGGUUUGUCUUAGAGGACGUUUCUUGAGAAGUUUAACUGGGCCAGGAAGAGCCAAAAUGAGAGUGUUUUUCAAUAACUCUCUCUAUCAUCAACCAAGAUGGACAAGAAGGGGAGAGUGAGGUCUGGAAACCUCACCCCAGGUUCCAGGGUGUAAGCAAGAUUUCUGAGAUGCCAGAUGCAGAGGGAGUUCAUGAAACCCAGGAAAGUGGUGCUUGUCCUGGCUGGAUUCUACUCUGGACGCAAAGCCAUCAUUGUGAAGAACAUUGACAAUGGCACCUCAGACCACCAUUACAGCCAUGCCCUGGUGGCUGGAAGUGACAGUUGCCAUGGGCAAGAAGAAACAAAGAAGUUACAAACCUGUGAAAGUUUAUAACUACAACCACCUCAUGCCCACAAGGUUGUCUGUGGAUAUUUCCUUGGACAAGACUGCUGUCAACAAGAAAGUGAUCAGGAACCCAGCUUUGAAACGCAAGGCCAGGCGGAGGCCAAGGUCCAGUUUGAGGAGUGAUACAAGACACAGAAGAACAAAUGUUUUUUCCAGAAGCUUCGCUUUUAGGUAUAUUUUUGUUUUCAUCCAAA